CAUAGUUAGCAUUGUUAUAGUGAAUGCAACCACACAGAAAAAUAAGAAAAUUUGACCUAUUUAUCUAAGAAUGAAGUCAUAUGCAAUUAUAUAAAGAAAACAACUCUACAGAGCUUACUAAUAUGUAUGAAAAUAAGGAUAGGCUAUUUCUGCUCAUAUCAGUAGGUUUGCAAUAAGUAUAUAUCCGUUAUUUACCAAAUCAAUUUUUAAAUGAAUAGAUUAAAAUAAAUUUGUUAGGAACUACUCUUCUACAUAGAAGUAAAACAUUUGUAGCUGAUUUGGUUGGAUGCUAUUCUUUUUUCAAAUGUUAAAAAUUGGUUUAACAGGAAAAAAAUAAUGAUCUACUGUACAAAAUCUAUAAAAAAUAAACUGGCAAACAUAUUUCAAAUAUAUAGUUCAUAGUGAAGAAAACUUAGAAUACAAGAAGAAAGCAUUGAGAAUAAUUUUAAGGCCAUCAGCUUGACUUUAGAGAAGACAUAAUUUCGGAUUUUUUAUCUUUCAGCCAGCUACUAAAAUGAACAAUAUAAUUUAGGUGAUGAAAUUAGUACUUUCUGACAUAUAUGUGGUUUUAUAUUUUGAUAUUUCUUUCACUUUAUGGUAUCUUAUCUGUUCUGUAUAUCACACAAUUCUGCAGGUGAGAUGCAAAAAUUGAGCUCCCCUGAAUAGAGAGAAAAAGAUAAUAUUCUUUGAGAUUUUGUCAUGACUUAUGUCCUGCAGACUCAAAAUGCUUUGUGGGAUUAUAAUAUUCACCUGUGAAAUGUGCCAACUCUACUGGGCAUGACAUCUAUGUUGUCAGAGAGGAUUUGACACAACUCCCAACUCACACAUUCC
rnacentral:lncRNA from 1 species